rnacentral:rRNA from 1 species
AGUGAACGCUGGCGGUAGGCCUAACACAUGCAAGUCGAACGGCAGCACAGUAAGAGCUUGCUCCUACGGGUGGCGAGUGGCGGACGGGUGAGGAAUACAUCGGAAUCUACUUUUUCGUGGGGGAUAACGUAGGGAAACUUACGCUAAUACCGCAUACGACCUACGGGUGAAAGCAGGGGAUCUUCGGACCUUGCGCGAUUGAAUGAGCUGAUGUCGGAUUAGCUAGUUGGCGGGGUAAAGGCCCACCAAGGCGACGAUCCGUAGCUGGUCUGAGAGGAUGAUCAGCCACACUGGAACUGAGACACGGUCCAGACUCCUACGGGAGGCAGCAGUGGGGAAUAUUGGGCAAUGGGCGCAAGCCUGAUCCAGCCAUACCGCGUGGGUGAAGAAGGCCUUCGGGUUGUAAAGCCCUUUUGUUAGGAAAGAAAAGCAGCAGGUUAAUACCCCGCUGUUCUGACGGUACCCAAAGAAUAAGCACCGGCUAACUUCGUG